rnacentral:lncRNA from 1 species
GAAGGUGCUUGCUUCUCCUUUGCCUUGUGCCAUAAUUGAGCAGAUAAUUGAGAGGCCUGGCCCAUGGAUGGGUUUGAACCACCUCAGGACUGAAGAUGAGAGGCUCAGUUUCACUAACAAUAAGAACAGUGACAAAUUCCCUGCCCUGCCAAAGCCCUGUGGUCCUUAUGCAGGACCUUCCCCUAGGAUGCUGUUCUCUGCGCAGGAGCCUGAGCCUUUCUGCCACCCGACAGUGACUGCCACAGCCAGGAUUAAGCCAACUGUCAGCAAAGAAGGAGGAAGAUAAACCCUGUGUGCAGACAGAAUGGGGGCUGUGUGGGCUGAGGGCACAGAAUGUUUCUCCAGCCACCGCAGGAAGCAGCAAGAAUACAGAAUCCUGGUUGCCUCUGACAAUUUUUCCUUUUUUUUUUUUUUUUUUUUUUUUCCUUUUUGGAAGCUGGAGAUCCCUGUGCCAAGCCCUCAAAGCAGCCCCGACUUUCCGUGCAAUAAAGCAGCAGUGAGAAAGGCUCAGAGUAAUUAAGUGGCUGACGCACAGAAGAAGCUGUUACAAAGAAUUGACUAAAUUGCCCAUUCAUUAGCAGCUCGGCAUGGAAGGAGAAUUACAAAUAGACGGCGGAGCCCGCAGUAAUUCAAUCUAACCUUGUACUUACAGAAAACAAUGAGAUAAUGAACAGAAAAA